GCUGGGCGUGGUGGCGGACGCCUGUAAUCCUAGCUACUUGGGAGGCUGAGGCAGGAGAAUCGCUUGAACCCAGGAGGCAGAGGUUGCAGUGAGCUGAAGUAUCAUGCCACUACACUCCAGCCUGGGUGACAAAGCUAGACUCAGUCUCAG
rnacentral:sRNA from 1 species